rnacentral:sRNA from 1 species
UUGCUAUCUACAAUAUAAAAGAUUCGAACCUGCAGCAGGUUCGAGUCGAACGAAGUGAGACAACGGAGCCGCUUGCGGCGACGACCCGGAGGGCGAGGCGAAGCCGAGUCAUCCUGCACGACCCACCA